UCCCUUGUAGCUGAGUUGGUAAAGAAUCUGCCUGAAGUGCAGGAGACCCAGGUUCGAUUCCUAGGCUGGGAA
rfam:TPA: Bos taurus chromosome X, whole genome shotgun sequence.